rnacentral:rRNA from 1 species
GCCUAAAAUUUAGCCCAACCUAACUUUAAUAACCCCUUCUAACUACCCCCACAAAAUAAAACAUUCUAAUGUCUUAGUAAAGGUGAUUGAAAAUUUAACUGGAGCAAUAAAAAUAGUACCGCAAGGGAAAAAUGAAAUAAUAAUGAAAUAAUACCAAGCAUAACAAAGUAGAGAUAUAACCUCGUACCUUUUGCAUCAUGGUCUAACUAGUCUAAUCAAGCAAAAAGCUAUUGCAGUUUGACCCCCCGAAACUAAGCGAGCUACUUCAAGGCAGCUUUCUGAGCCAACCCGUCUCUGUUGCAAAAGAGUGGGACGACCUUCAAGUAGGGGUGACAGACCUAACGAGCUUAGUGAUAGCUGGUUACUCAAGAAAAGAAUUUUAGUCCAACCUAGAGUUUUAUUUUUACACUAAAAAUUUAUCUUAAGCUCUAGAGCAACUCAAGUAAGGUACAGCCUAUUUGAGACAGGAUACAACCUCAACUGACGGGUAAUUAAACUCUUAAAAACCAAUCUAGUGGGCCUAAAAGCAGCCACCUUUAAAAAGCGUCAAAGCUUCACUGAUACUUAAAAUAAUCCCUAAACCUAUCUUCAACCCUCUACCCAUAUUGAGUAAUUCUAUGCUUUCAUAGAACCUAUAAUGUUAAAACUAGUAACAAGAAGUUACCCCUUCUCUUUAAUGCAAGCAUAAAUCAGUAAGGACAAACCACUGAUAAUUAACGUCUGUGAAUUUAUAUCAGCAACUUCCCACAAGAAAACCCUCAUACACACUUAACGUUAAACUAACACAAGAGCAUUCCAAGAAAGAUUAAAAGAAAAAGAAGGAACUCGGCAAACCUUAACCCCGCCUGUUUACCAAAAACAUCGCCUCUUGACCAGUAUAAGAGGUCCAGCCUGCCCAGUGACCACAGUUCAACGGCCGCGGUAUCCUAACCGUGCGAAGGUAGCGUAAUCACUUGUUCUUUAAAUGAGGACUAGUAUGAAUGGCAUCACGAGGGUUAUACUGUCUCCUUUUUCUAAUCAGUGAAACUAAUCUCCCCGUGAAGAAGCGGGGAUAACUAUAUAAGACGAGAAGACCCUAUGGAGCUUUAAAUUUUAUUACAACUGCUUAGCUCAUUCCCCAGUCCUGACUUCGCCUAUUAAGCCCAGCAUUAUGAUAAUAAAUUUUAGGUUGGGGUGACCACGGAGUACAAAAAAACCUCCGCAUUGAACUAAGCCUUAAAGCUUUUAACAAAGAACUACGACUCAAUGUAAUAGUACACUAACACCCAUUGACCCAAUAUUUUGAUCAACGAACCAAGUUACCCUAGGGAUAACAGCGCAAUCCACUUAAAGAGCCCCUAUCGACAAGUGGGUUUACGACCUCGAUGUUGGAUCAGGGUAUCCCGGUGGUGCAGCCGCUACCAAAGGUUCGUUUGUUCAACGAUUAAAACCCU